UCUCUUUUACGGCCAGCCCAGCUGGAAGGUGACACCUCAAAAGGUUUGGCUUCCUUGCUCUGCAGAGAGCCUCUCUGUGGAUCUGCUGCUCUUGGAGCUGUUCUGGGGAGGUGUGAGAACUCCUCCUUUUCCCCUCUCAUGAGCGUAGCUGGGGCUCCAUUUCAGCCAAGCCAAGAACCACAGCAGGACUGGUGCUCCCCACCAUUCCCCUGUGGAGAGGCAGUGGCAUUCUGCAGCCAAGUGAGGCAUCUGGUGCCUCUCUGAGGUUUCUCAUUGACACAAUUAAUGCUUCAUCUGUGAACCUGGCUGAACAAAGUGUCAUCCUCUGCUCAGGAAAUUUUUGAGAUCCUGAUUCUAGGGAGCUGGCAAACUCCAGUUCUCUGAGGUGAUGAUGGCUUUGAUUUCAUUCUGGUAUGGCAUCACACUCAGGCUGUGAUCUGCUCCAGGUCUUACUCUGCUGCUUAGUUCUCCUGGCAUGGAUGGUCAGGGAAGAGGAGCUGGGCCAGCAAAAAUGUUCAAGUCCUGCUGUCUGAAGGAAGCCCAUGUUUUGUAUCAGAGCGCUGCUUGGCUGGUCUGGGAAGAAGCAAGGGUUCUUGGUACGUGAUGGCCAGGAUUUGAUAACAAAGAAUAAAAUUACAAUGGAAAUCAGGCAAGUUCUGUUUAGACAGGAAAGGGAAAAAUGGCUCAGAGUUUGCCAUGUGGUAUCUCAUAUCUUGAAAAAUAAACAAUGUUGUCUCCUUUGGUAUUUUAUUGUAUAUUAACGUCUAUCAUUAAUUAAAUAAUAAAGUCUCUAGCACUUUAUACCUGCAUAAGGAGCUUUCAGAUGAUCUAAUUUAGUUCUCACUUACCAUGAGAGACUGUGUCACAUAGUCCUCUUUAUGGAUUUGUCAGAUCUGUCCUAAAAAUAGCUAUUUCUUUAAAAAUAAAUAGUUACUAUCUUGCUCCUCAGUUUAAAAUGAU